GCCAGCAUGGCGGAUAUGCCCCUUGGCUUGUAACCGAGUGGGUUCGGGUUCGAAUCCCGAGUAAGGCA